UUCUCAUCUUAAUUUUAUAUUAGGUUAUCAACAUUUUCCUUUUAUUGUUUAUCUAGUUUUCAAAUCCAAACCCACAACUCAACACUCAACUACUAAUUAAAUUUUCAAACUUUGUCAGGUGUUUUGGAAGCAAAGAGGACCCACCAUGGCCAGAAGAAAGUCGAACAUCGCUAAAAGAAGAAUUAAGAAAGCGUUGAAGAAAGUUAGGACGUUAAAAGCUUGGACAGCACAGACGAGAGAGGAGGCGACCCGCCUGAUAAACCGGGCAGGGAAUUGUUACCAGGAAAUCGCGCAAAUUAGGGGAGCGAUUCAAUCACAAAUCUUGGCAGCUCGGAAUUUGGAUGCUGAAGUCAAUCAUCUCAUUCUCGCUUGUCUUGCUAAAGACGACGGCGACUGAUCACAUUUCCUGCUCUUUUGUCGUUUUUUUACUGUUUCUUUGGUCGUUCCCGCCCAAGCUUAUUCAAAGCAUGCUGGGAUUAGGUGCAGCUGUUUAAAAGGGUUUGCCAGGAGCAAAUUCUGUUGACGUUGUUUUGUUCUUUUGGUGUGCUGUCCUGGCGUGAGUAGUCGAUCUGUGUUGCUGAUGCAGAUGCUCUUUUGUUUGGCUUGUUAGUCCCAUAAGUUUGGAGUUGUUGCUACUCUGUAGAGGAGGAUAGGGUCAUUCUGUUCUAUUAAGUAUUGGGUGUUUAAUCGUCUCUGUGGGCUAAUUUUUGUGGUUGUAAUGCCGAUGUUCAUUCUGGUUGUUGUCGUGUGACUUGGUGUUGGAUAUGUCCUUCAUUAAGAGUACUAUUUUCCUCUAUUCAGGAUUAGGGAGGUUUUUAGAGGCUCUUAACAUAGGUUUUUAAUCAAUAAAUCUAUUUUUGUAGUAGAUGUUUUUGAUAAAAUUUCAAGAGUUUUCUUCCUCCUCCACCUCCAUGGCCUUGAGCUUCCUUC